UUUGGGAAAUGAUGCCAAAACUUAAAGAGUGACUGAAGCAUAAGCUCUGCUGAAUAUUAUUUGCACGUCAGUCUGAUCCCAAA